GUCUAUUUGGAGAUAAAAAUAGUCUGGCCUGCCCACUGAUUAAUUGAUUAAAGGGCCGCAGUAUUAUGACUGUGCAAAGGUAGCAUAAUCAUUAGGUUUUUAAAUGGAAUCUUGUAUGAAUGGUCGGACAAAGGAGAAACUGUCUCAAGCUUAAUUUUGAAUUUUACUUUUAAGUGAGAAGGCUUAGAUUUUUUAGAGGGACGAUAAGACCCUAUAAAGCUUUACAUAUAGGUUAUAUUUAGUUGAAUUUAGGAACUAAAAGUUUAAUAUAACUGUAUGUUUUGUUGGGGCAACAGGGGCAGAAUUAAUUGUAGCUGCUUAAAAAGUGAACAGUUAUAUGUGAAAACUAAUUGAUCCUAAUUAUAGAUUAGAAGUUUAAGUUACUUUAGGGAUAACAGUAUAAUUCUUUUUGAGAGUUCAUAUCGAAAAAAGAGUUUGUAACCUCGAUGUUGAAUUAAAAUAUCUUUAUAAUGUAGCUGUUAUAAGAGAGGGUCUGUUCGACCUUUAAUUU
rnacentral:rRNA from 2 species